UGCGUUUAACAUUUUUAUUUUUAACUCCGCUUUGGUAGUACAAAAGUCAUAAAAGUACAAACCAGACAGUUAAAAAUACACUUGACACUCGAAAUGGUGAAAAUUUUCCUUACAAAUUUUUACAUCAAGGUAGUAGCCAACUCAUUGAUGACACCAAAAAGUUGUCCAUCAUUAGUGUUUUCUAGAGAAAGUCUGUUGUGGAUUCCCUCAUCCUUAGAAAGGAGGAGGAGUAACACAAGACCUGUAAACAUCAGUUGCUUUGGGAACACAGGAAUUCUCAUCAGAUAGUUCAGUAUAAACCAGUAAAAAGCGUAUGUGUUGAAAAUACUGAACGCUUAAUUUUGGCAAAUUUGGAAGCCUGCCAGACAAAAACCGCUCAAGUAUUUAUUAGAAAAUAUUUAAAACAUACUCUUGGUAUCAAUACAGUUUUAAAUAUUUUUGAGUAUUCUCUUGCCUGUUGUAUUGCUAUUUAAAAAAAAGUGCUCUGACUUGAAUAAGAUGGAAAAAUAAUUAAAGCUAAAGAAUAUCUUACAUUUUAUCCCCCACCAUUUUGAGGGCAUAUUUUUAAAGCAAAAAAGUAUGCUUAUUUGUUUUUAAUUAAAAUGAUUAGCCUAGACUGCACAUAUAUUAUUUACACUAAUACAUACCCCUAAAAGUCCUAUAUUGCUACUUUCUGGAUCUCAGUGAAAUUUAUUUCCAUACUGACUUUCUCCAGUCCACAGUGUAUAUGAAUAUGUACACAUACAGUGUUUAUUAGUUGUCAGUAAAAAUUCUCAUGAAACUAAAUUCCCCAUUUAUUUAAAAGGUUAGAAAUGUUUAGUUUGAUGCUGGAAAUAAAAUCAUUGAAGUCUAUGUACAGUAAAUACUUUGAAGUAUAUUUUUAUGGAAAUCAUCUUUUGGGAGACAAAUGAAAGAUGUGCAUUUUCCUAUAUGAAAUAAAAGAAGUGCUCAAGGCACCCCCCAACACUGACAUGGAGGCGGGUCUUGGAGACCUUGUAACUGGCCUCCCCCACAGCUCACCCCAGAGCUACCAUAAAUCAUGUAAUACUAUUUAUGCCUCUGGGUCCUUUCAGGUGUUUUGUAAAAUGUACAGUUAUAAAAAAAAAAAAGAAAAAGAAAAGUUUGCCAGGCCUAAAGGGAAAAGUAACUGGAGUGUUUUAAAUAAUGAGCAUUAGUUACAGGAUGAAAAACAGGAAAUACACAAAGAAAAACAUGCCAGAGGUAGGUGCAGGCCCAUCUUAUAUGAGAAGCAGGGUUCUAGGCCGGGCGCAGUGGCUCAAGCCUGUAAUCCCAGAACUUUGGGAGGCCGAGGCGGGUGGAUCACGAGGUCAGGAGAUCGAGACCAUCUUCGCUAAUGCGGUGAAACCCCGUCUCUCCUAAAAAUACAAAAAAAAUAAGCCAAGCGUGGUGGUGGGCACCUGUAGUCCCAGCUACUCAGGAGGCUGAGGCAGGAGAAUGGCCUACUUGGGAGGCUGAGGCAGGAGAAUCGCUUGAACCUGGGGAGGUGGAGAUUGAGGUGAGUGGAGAUUGUGCCACUGCACUCCAGCCUAGGGGACACAGCGAGACUCUGCCUCAAAAAAAAAAAAAAAAAAACCUUCUCAAAAUGUGUAAGUGCUGUAGGAGUGACAUGGUGGUGGCAGGAGUUAAUGCUGAAUUUGUGGUCAAGGAAUCCAAAGUCUAGCAUCUGGUCCCAUCUGACUCCAUGGUCCCUUGGGGAAUCAACUCCUCAGGGCUAACUAGAUUAUUUCCACUGAGCUUUUACCACUGAAGAUUCAUCUUUUAUCUUUUGUAACAGCUAACCUGUAUGUAUCAAGAUCUUCU
rnacentral:lncRNA from 1 species